CAGACAGAGUCUUGUUCUGUUACCCAGGCUGAAGUGCAGUGGUAUGAUCUCAGCUCACUGCAACCUUGAACUCCUGAACAGCAAUCCUCUUUCCUCAGCCUCACAAGUAACUAGGACUACAGGUGUGCAUCAUCACACCCAGCUGAUUUUUAAAUCGUUUGUAGAGACAGGGUCUUGCUACGUUGUCCAGCCUAGUCUGGCCUCCAGCAAUUCUCCUGCCUUUGACUCCCAAAGUGCUGGGACUAUAAGCAUACACCACCACACCCAGUCAAGGUAAUAAGUAUUUAAUAAAUGUAUGAAUGCGUGAUAGAAUGAGUAAGUAAAUGAAUGAGUUGACUGUGACUUCCUGGCUAAGUAGUUGGCAGAUUCAAAGCUGGAAGAUGGGUUUCCUGAUCCCAGGACCCUUUAUUUCCACUGUCCCCAAAUUGUUGUAAUUCACAAAAUUCUCUUCUUUUACCUCUGUGGGACCUAGGCCUUAAUUUUUGAGGUGUUUGCCUACAGUUAGAGGUGAGAUCUCUGGCUAAGAAUCAUGCUACAACACAAAACUUACCAUUCACUUUAGCCGGCAAGCACAGCUUUUUGAUCUCAUAUGUUUACCAUCUGAUCUUUGUAGUACACACAGACUCUUCACAUAUGUAUUUUCAUUUUGUAAUAUGGCAAUAUGCAUUUAUCUGCUUCUUAUUCAUACAUUUGACAAGAUAGAUACUUCCAUUUUAAAUUUAUUUUGGCAAAGUGUAAUAUUAUUCCAGCAUUUUAUAAAUGAUAAAGAACAAGGUUAAAGAAGGAUUGGAUUCAUCAUGUAAAGGUUAAAUAAUUCUAAUUUUAAGGAAUGAAUAUCAAUUGCUCUUUUAAGAUGUGUUUGAAGAAUUCUUGUCAUUGAGGGAAGCAUUUUUCAAGUCUGUUGAAAUCCGUUCAAGUGUAAGGAGAGGGCUGAAGAAUGCAUGGUAAACAGAUGACUUUUGCAUAUUAAGGUAUUUUGAAUUGUACUCUUCUUGCCAUAGGAAUAAUGGGUAUCUUUAAAAUCGGGUAUUCUUGCAAAAUUGUAGCAUAGCUUUGUGGUAGCUUUAAACACUCAGAAAAAGGAUUCUUGAAAAACGAAUGAAAUUCUGGCAAAAACAAACAAACAACAAAAAAACAAAACCACCUAAAUACUAAGUAGUUUAGAUUAUUUGAAUGAAAUAUUUUCCCAUGCUGUCAAAUUUACAUCCAAUUUUCUAUGUUUUAUUCAAAGAGAGUUCUGUCAUACAAAGAUUAGAGGUUCACCAAAAACGGCUACUACAUCUUAUUGUUUUCUAAACCUGACUUCUUCAUAUAUAGAUAGCAGGCGUAAAACUGUACGCAGAAUGGCUGCAGUGUGGAGAAGAUGAGGAUCUCCAGGAAGAAAAAAAGAGGUUGCUCUCACUAGAACAUGCCUUUUAAUUGCCAAGGAAUUAAUAAUGCACCUUUUUUAAGCUUCAGUUGCGCUCAACUCAAAAAUCUACUCUACAGGAUAAUUGGCCUUUCCUUGCCUAUCUCUUUGCUUCUUGCAAGGAGUAAUAAAAUUAAACAUACUCUCAAUGAGUAGGAAGUUUCUAAGAUGCUUAGCCUUGAUAUGUAAUUUUCAAAUAUGUGCUUUUUUAGAGAUUUUUCUAUUUUUAGCUUAAUCUCUUUCUGCUGCUGCUUCCAUUGAGUCUUUUCAUCAGACAACUCCCUUCUUCCCUUUCGGAAUAUAAGUUCCUUUAAGGUUAGAGGUAAUAUUCUGUUCACUUCAUCCUCUUAUUUCCAAACAUGAUUCCUGGCAUACAAAGGGUGCUUAGUGAAUUUUCUGAAUGAGCCACAGUAUGCAAAUUAUAAUGAAAUUCAUACCCCUAAUGUUGUACACACCUAAAUUUGAUUUACAGCAUAAUUUACUGUGGUAGUCUGUGUACAGACAGGUUUUGCUGUUCAUUAAAAUAAGAUCACAACCUCCUUCCUAUACUCUCAAUAUAAUAAUUUUAAAACUGUACUAAAUGUUAGAGUACUUAAGAUUAUUGAUGUAUUCAGAGACAGAGUAGUACAUGAUUCAGUACCAACAGGGCAUCAUCACAAAUUUAGAAUUGUGCUCACAUUUAUGGAAAGAUGGUUUGCAUUCAACUGAGAAUAAGUAUUAAUUUAUUUGAUAAAUAUUUAUGGAGCACCUGCUAUUAGUAAUUUUUCUAAGCAUGUGGGAUACAAAACUUUCUCUAUGAAGUUUAUCAUUCAGGGAAGAGAAACAAACAGUAAAUAAUUAAAAUGACAAAUAGGUCAACUGUGAAGUAUGCUAUAAAGUGCUACGUGGGAAAUACAGAGAUGGGGCAGUAGGAUGUGGUAUGUGAGUUGAGGAAUAUUUUGUAGGCAGUUUGUAGUUUUAAAUAAGGGGAGUUAGUGUAGGUAUCAUUGGUAGGACGAUAUAUGAGCUAAGACUUGAAGGAGAGGUGAGAUCUAGCUAAGAGGACAUCUAGAGGAAGAGUCUUCCUUGCAGAAAAAAAACAGUAUGUCUGGAAAAAAAUAUAGAACUGCAAGAAGCCAAUUAUGGCUGAUGAUGGGUCAGAUGGAAAGGGAAGAAUGUUAGUAGAAAAAUACAUCAGAUUGGAAGCACAGUAUCCAAUGAAUAUUGAAGGAAUUUGUAAAAGUUUAGUUCUAUUAUAAGUAAAGUGGCUCAGCACUACAGGAUUUUAAACAGAGGAGUGACAAAGCGGACAUAUUUUCAAAGGAUCAUUCUGGUUGAUAUGUUAAAGAGAGGGCAGAGCUAGGAACAUGGACACCUACUAAAAUCUGUUUUACAUUAAAGUGGGAAAUGAUGAUGACUUUAGCCAGCAUGGUAGUAAUUGAGAUGGAAAGUAGUUGGAUUCUGGAUGAAUUUGAACGUAAAUUCAACAGACUUUGCUGAUGUAUUAGAAAUAGCUGUAUAAUAGAGCGAGAGAGAGAAGUCAGGGAUAAAUAUUUUCCACCUGAAAAUUAUCAAGCAUUGUCUGUGGGUCAUAGUAGCUAUUGAUAAAAUGUAGCUUGAAUAACAUAAGUAAUACAUAACUGUGAUUUAAUGUAUGUUUUAUUUGGAAAGGCAUAGAUGCUGAUAUUCCAAACUCAAGAGAAGCAGACUUAAUUAGCCAUAAUAUGAAGUAAAGAGCUGAGCCAAAAGUAGGUCCUAGAUAAAUACAGGCACACCUUAUUUUAUUGUGCUUCACUCUUCUGCACCUCACAGAUACUGCAUUUUUACAAAUUGAAGGUUUGUAGCAAUCUUGCUUUGGGCAAGCCUAUGGGCACUAUUUUUCCACCAACGUAUGGUCACUUCAUGUCUCUGGGUCAGGUUUCAAUAAUUCUCCCAAAUUUUCAAACUUUCUCAUUAUUAUUUUAUCUGUUAUGGUUAUCGGUGACCAAUGAUCUUUGAUGUUACUGUUGUAAUUGUUUUGGGGAGCCACAAAUCACACCCAUACACUACUGUAAACAAAGUAGCCAAAAAUAAGUGGCUACCUCCUUUUUUUUCUAUUCUUUUAUACAUACGUAUUUGCCCUUUCUCCCUUGUCACUUGACACUCUUCUUUUCCGUGACUAACUAUAUACUUGCUUAAGAUUUCCAGGAACUAAUAUUGAAACCAUUCAGCUAUGAAGGCGAGAUUUCAGGAUACUUUUUUUCCAGAGAAGGGAUCAGCAAGCAGUUAAUCCACAACCCAGUCAUGGUGAAGCUGACACCAGCCAGGCUUCUAGAUGGUCCUUUACUCAUGAUAGCCAUUGGAAUAAGACGUGUAGACCUGUGCCUUGCACCACUCCUGCAUUUUAGUUUCCAUGGUUCCUUUCUCCUUGAAAUCCCUUUGGUCAGCCUGAAAAUUUUGAGAUGUUUUUGUGACACCAUCUCCUCAGGUUGUGUCCACCAUCUCCUCAGGCUGUCAGCUUUUGAAUAAACCUGUAUUUUCUUCCACCAACUCUUGUACAUGUCUCUCACUUUAAAUCGAAAGCCACACAUAACUAAGCUUAGUGAGGAAGGCAUGUCAAAAGCUGAGAGAGGCCAAAAGCUAGGCAUUUUCUGCCAAACAGUUAGCUAAGUUGUGAAUGUAAAGAAAAAGUUUUUGAAGGAAAUUAAAAGUGCUAGUCCAGUGAACACACAAAUAAUAAGAAAGCGAAACUAUGGUUGGUAUGGAGAAGGUUAUAGUAGCUUUGAUAAAUGAUGAAAACAGUUAUAACAUGUACUUAAGCUAAAGUCUAAUCCAGAGCAAGGCAGGCCUUAACUCUCUUCAAUUCCAUGAAGGCUGAGAGGGUUGAGGAAGCUGCAGAAGAAAAGUUGGAAGCUAGCAGAGGUUAGUUCAUGGGGUUUAAGGAAAAAAGUCAUCCCCAUAACAUAAGAGAAUGAAGUGGAGCCACAAGUACUGAUAUGGAAGCUGCAUCAAAUUAUCCAGAAGAUUUAGCUAAGACAAUUGAUAAAGAUGGCUACAAUAAACAACAAAUUUUCAAUGUAGAUCAAACAUCCUUAUAUUGGGAAAAGAUUCCAUCUAGGACUUUCAUAACUAGAGAAAAGUCAAUGCCUGGCUUCAAAGCUUCAGAGGAGAGGCUGAUUCUCAUUAGGAAAUAAUGCAGCUGGUGACUUUAAGUGGAAGCCCAUGCUCAUUUACCAUUCCCAAAAUCCUAGGGCCCUAAGGAAUUAUGCUAGGUCUAUUCUUCCUAUGCUCUAGAAAAGGAACAACAAAGCCUAGAUGACAGCACAUUUAUUUGCAGCAUAGUUUACUAAAUACUUUAAGCCUAAUGUUGAGACCUACUGCUCAGAAAAAAAAAGGCUUUCAAAAUAUUACCAUUCAUUGAGAAUGCACCUCAUUGCCAAGAGUUCUGAUUGAAAUGUACAAGAAGAGUAAUGUUUUCAUGCCUGCUACCACAACAUCCAUUCUAUAGCCCAUGGCUCAAGGAGUAAAGUCUUAUUAUUCAAGAAACAGAUUUUGUAAGGCUAUAGCUUCCAUAGAUAGUGAUUCCCCAAUAGAUCGGUGCAAAGUAGAUUGAAAACCUUCUAGAAAGGUUUCAUAAUUCCAGAUGACAUUAAGAACAUUCUUGAUCCAUGGGAAGAGGCCAAAAUAUCAACAUUACUAGGAGUUUGGAAGAAGCUGAUUCCAGUCUUCAUGGAUGACUUUCAGGGUUUCAAGGCUUCAGUGGAGGAAGUAACUGUAAAUGUGAUAGAAAUAGAAAGACAACUGGAAUUAGAAGUGAAGCCUACAGAUGUGACUGAAUUCUUGCAAUCUCAUGAUAAAACUUGAAUGGAUGAGAUAUUGUUUCUUGUGGAUGAACGAAGGUCAUUUCUUGAAAUGGAAUACACUCCUGGUGAAGAUGCUGUGAACAUUGUUGAAAUGACAACAAAGGAUCUCAAAUAUUACAUAAACUUAGUAGAUAAAGCAGCAGUAGGGUUUAUGAAGAUUGACUUCAAUUUUGAAAGAUGUCUUACUAUCAAACAGAAUCACCAGUGACAGAUAAAUCUUUCAUGAAAGGAAGAGUCAAUUGAUGUGACAAACUUCAUUAUGGUGUUUUUUUUUAAGUUGCCAAACACACUCUGACCUGUAGCAACCACCACCCUGAUUAGUCAGCAGCUAUCAGCAUGGGGGCAAGAACUUCCACCAGCAAAAA
rnacentral:lncRNA from 1 species